rnacentral:lncRNA from 1 species
AUCAGCCUGCACAUCCAUGAUCUACACUGUUCGCCAUUCAGACAGUAUAUUUUUGGUAAGCACCCCUUUGAACAGUUAAUGGUACUGUCCAAAUUGGUAGAUGGACAAGUUCAUUAUAUAAAUUCAGCAGGGUACGGGUUAAAUGAUUGUUAGCAGGGUAAAGGUUAAAGAAGGACAACUCUGUAGAAGAGACUUAGAAUGUAAAUGAUAGAUUUAUCUCUCUUGAUACACUAUGAUAAGUUAUUUGAUUACAGAGUGCAUUUUCUGAUGGCUGGUCAGUCAUUUAUCAACAAUGAGAAGGUAGACAAUGAUCUAGGUGGGAACGCUGAAACAGCCUCCCUUGAACUACAGAUGUCGUAAGAUCUUCUAACCUUCAAGAAAACUUCAGUGGAUGUCAGGUAUGCGCAAUACAAAAUUCAUAGUUACUGUGUCGAACAACCGUUAUGAAUAAAAUCUGGAAAGUAGAUCCCUCGGAAGCACCGAGAACAAGGCAAAUAGUGAAAAUUGCAGACUCGGUUUGAUUGAGUCUGUUCAUGGGCAGUAAUGGAAAAAGCAACACUGCCCACGCCCCCUAGCACCGGCUUAAGCAGUAUUCAAUCUUCAAAUCCAAAUGAGUUGAAAUCAAUGAUCCCGAAGUCAUCAACGAUUGUGGGAUACUCUGCGGUAAAUACUUCGGUCCGGCGAUUGACAAAGAACCUUUUCGGCUGCGGAUACACACUACGGGAGGUUCUUAAAAAUCAAACACAAGAUGGAGGAAUUUCUGAUAUUGUGUGAAGUGUUUGUUUAUACACCAUAGUGACAAGAAGUUUUGUAACCAUCUGUGUAUGUGUUGCCUCAAAAGAAACUAUAUUUUCACACGGUAAAGUAUUUUGAACUGGAACAGCUACUGUCAAAACGGAAGUUGUAUGGUAGUAUAUAUUAAUGGUAUUGUUAGUCAUAUUUGUCAAUUGUGUUUGAUGUUAAGUAGAUUUAAAUUUUGAUUCAUAUACUCUGCGACAGGGUUUUCGUUCAUUUCUUUUUAAAUAGUUUAAUAUAUCAAAGUUAACACAUACAUUCUGCCUUUGCGACCAGUGCAGACCAAGAUCAGCCUGGUCUGCACUGUUCGCUAUUUAGUCAGUAAAUUUUCAGUGAACACCCCUUCAAAUAAUGAAUGGUACUGCCCAAACUGAAUGAUGGAUCAGUCCAUUUUAGAAAUUUAGCGGGCUAAAGGUUAAAGAACACCUUCGAAGGGAGAAUUUAUACUAUAUAUACUAGUACCACUUAUGACAUUUUCGAAUGAUAUGUAAUCUACUCUAGCUCAGUUUUUAUUAUUUUUUUUUUUUUUUUUGCACAAGUACGAAGAAGCCCUGUUAUUAAACUGUAUGACCGCGAGAAGUUUGUCCAAUUAGUUGGCCACCUGUCCGCUUUUAGGCAAAACCAAACGAGCUGUGAAAAGUUUCAAUAUAUUGCUUAUUUAACUGUUUAUUAUAAUUAUACCUUUAAUAAUUUGUUUCAAUGAUGGUAAUUAUACACGACUUUCAUAAAAAAAAUCAGAAAUACAAGUACACAGUAUCAUGUUACAUGCUGCCAGUGACAUAUAUGGAACGCUAUGGAACCGUUUUGUCUUUAUAUGGAACAAACUUUUCAUUAUAUUUAUUCAUUUGUUUUAAGAAUAUAUAGGUUCAUUCGCUCAUUAUAUAAAUUGGAAAAUGCAAUAUAUGGAACCGUUUCAUCUUUAUAUGGAACACACUUUUCAUUAUAUGAUAGCAAACCAUUAUUAUAUAGAUUCGAUUUCCCUUUAUAUGCAUUCAAAAUGUAAUAUAUGGAACCAUUCUGUCUUUAUAUGGAACCAACCUGUUCAUUAUAUGAUAGCAAAACAUUAUUAUAUAGAUUCGAUUUCCCUUUAUAUGCAUUCAAAAUGUUAUAUAAGGAACCGUUCUGUCGUUUUAUGGAA